GAUUAAUCACUUACCUUUCUCCAGCGCUGGGCUCCCUCGGCGCUGGGGAAAUCUCCUCAGUCUUCCGACGUCAGCGCUGAAUGCGCAUGUGCGGCAAGAGCCGCACGCAUUCAAUCAGUCCAUAGGAAAACAUUUCUCAAUGCUUUCCUAUGGACAUCAGCUUCCUAUGGCGGAAGCGCCUCUAGCGGCUGUCAAUGAGACAGCCACUAGAGGCUAGAUUAACCCUAUUG